AGGAAAUCAUAAAUUUGUGACAUCUCGUAAUAUUUUUAAGUUAUUAAUUCUUAAGUUUCCAAGUCCAAGAAGCUAACUUGUAGAUUAGUUGGUUUGGAAUAUCUAGUAGUUAAACGUGGAAGCCGUUUGUUGUAGGUAGCAGCAAAUUCGUUUAUGGAAGGUAAUUUAAGGGUGCACCCGUGAUUAACCGCGGACAGUUGUUUUGGAUUGCUUGUAUGGUUCUUUUAUUUGAGUUCAUUGCAGAGCCCCAGAUUACUAUACCAUAUGUCCACAUUGGUUGAAGAAGUGUUUUGUGUAAAAUGAUUUUGAUGGACAUGGUUAGGUUGGAACGAAGGAGUGGCUUUAACCGACGGAGUCUGGAGUUAAGUUUCUUACGCUUGUCUUCGGGAUGGAGAGGCCAGGUUAAGCGCCUGUCAAAAGUACGACCAAGGUAUUUAACUUCAUUCGAGUGAGAAAUGAUGACGUUGAUAGUUACGGCUGGGCAGUUUUGAGGUCUGAGCGAGAAGGUGACAAUGGAGGAUUUUUAUUCGUUGAUUACAAUUUUCCAGCUGGUGAACCAUUGUGAAAGUGUAUUUAUGCGAUUUCGAAGUUGUUGAGACGCAAUGGUGUGGUCGGAAGAAGCUGAUAAUAAAGCGGUAUCAUCGGCAUAUAUGUUCCGACUGUGGUAUUUUCCGAGGUAGGCAGGUCCGACGUACAAACGGUAUAUACUGUAAUGGGAAUGGAGCGAUGUCAUAAAUUGCCUAUCCAUGACCGUUCUCUAUUCCUCCGGUCAAAACUUUAAAUUGUUAUAACUCAUAGACGAUAAAUAUGAUAUUAGUGUUAUGCAUAUCGAAAUUUCUAAAAAAAAAUAUUCU